AAAUAUUAUUUAUAAAUAAAAUAUAAUUAAAAAUGUUUGCCAAAUAUUAUUUUAGAUGUGUUAAAAAUUUUAAAUAUUUAUUAAAAAAAAUGUUAUUUGAUUUUUUUUAACAUUUAUUUGAAAUAUAAAAUAUAUCAUUUAUCUGCCUAUGCCAUGCAGAUGAAAGUUAUGAUAAUAUGCAUACUAAUAAAACAUAUCAGAUUAUUACUAUUGCGAUAUAGUGAUGAGAAACUGCACAGAUUUAGUCUCAUGCAGGUUUUGUUCACGUCAUUCAUUAUUUCAGAGCAGAGAGCCGUCAUCAGCGUGUUCACACAACAGGAGAAGUAGGUGUGUUUUNAUGACAAAUAACAAUAUAUCAGUCAUAUUUUAAAGAAAAAAGCAAGCAAAUCUCAGUUUUGUUGAAAAAAUUCCACUGAUUUGUGAUUCUGACAAUAUUAAUAAACAAUAAUAGCUGAUAAAUAAACAAUACCACAAUAUGCAGAUCUAAUAAUGUAAAACAAUCAAAGAAGUCACUGAAUCUUUUUGUAUAAUGUCUAGUCUUGUCAUGUUUUAAAAAAUCGUUCUGUUACCGUCACCAUCAAUACUGACACUACUAAGAACACUCGUUACUACUAAAUAAAUAGAAGAAGUAGCAUAAAUAUGACAAAGGCAGAAAAGAAGCUGAUUAAGAGCUGAAGGAAAUGGAGAGAUGUACCUUCUGUGGGCUCAGGCAUGGCUGUGGCUGUGUUGCUUGUCUUCCUUCGACUGACAGCUUGUGUCACUUUUUUUGCCUUUUAUUUCACAGUCCCUCUGUUAUUCAAAGCGUCCAGGGAACUCAAAUUACCCACCAAGCAAGGAGAGAGCUGGCAGGAGGGAGACAAUCCAGGGGGAGAGAAGACAGCACUGACACUCGAAACCCCUCCUGGAUUCUCCAAGUCUAAGAACAACGUUUGGAGGGAUGGAGAGCGAGCCGGACACGAGUGUUUGCUGACAGACGUGUUAAGGGAUCGGUGUUCGUCAACUCCAGACUGCAGGACGAGUGAAGAGAGACAAUCUGAAGUAUCCGUCUAAUGGCAUCACUCUCGUUCAGCUCUCUUGUACACACCAUGUGGACCUAUGGUUAUUUUUAUUUAUUUCAUUUACAUUAAUGACUUGGAUUACAUCAACAUGCAAUUAGUAAAUGUCAGUGUUCAUUUGUUCUUCAUUUCAUAAUUUUUAUUUAUUUAUUCCUUUUUUAUUAAGGGCUGACUGUCUUUAUAAUAUUUAUUUUAAGUGUUUUGUGAUUUCUACAUUUUAUUCUAUG
rnacentral:lncRNA from 12 species